rfam:Desulfocapsa sulfexigens DSM 10523, complete genome.
CACCACUUUGAGCAAUCGGAAUGGUGAGAAUGCAGAAGUCAGCAGAAGCCAUAGUAGCCCAAAGCCGGGGGUAAUGCCCCGGACACGGUGAAGGGC